CUUUACCACCGGCCCCUUCGAGGAUGAGCUGGCUGCCCAGAGCUGAGUAGAGAGCUCAUGUCCCCCACCCCACACCACCAGGCACCCAUUGAGUUCCCCGGCCCGUUCCCUCUCUGGACAUUAUGUUGCCCCAUUCUGUCUGAGAACCUCCUUCCCGUGGUGUGUGGCACCCGAAGGCCCUCCUCCAUGGCUGUCACACAGGUUGAAUCCAGUCUCAGAGGGAACCAGUUUGGUUGGAAGUUCAUUUCUCACAGUUCUGGAGGCUGGGCAUCUGCUUGGCAACAGUGUCCUGCUGGUGAUUCUGCCAUUGGAGCCCAGGGAGAAGCCCUGAGGAAGAGAGCAGAUGCCAGUCUGCAGGAGCAAGCAGGGUAGAGAAGGAAGCAUCUGGUCAGCCAUGGGGAAACAUCCAGUGCACAUCGAGUUUGGAGCAAGGUGAAUUAGAAGUCUGGGAGACAAAGGACCAUCUCCGCAUGACUGAUGACUACUCAGGCUAGUGAUGAAUGGGUCUCUAAACCAAACACAUCAAUACCUGUGGGCGUGAGAAGGACAGGGCCUGCCGCCUGCGACACCGUUAAACCCUCUCCCAAGGACUUCGUGUUGAAACAGGCUCCAUAGUUACAGUGUGAUCCCAGGACAAAGAAAUAAAGGUCAGUGAUUGAAGGCAAUUCUUUACCUUCAAAUUAAGACGUG
rnacentral:lncRNA from 1 species